rnacentral:rRNA from 2 species
CGGACGGGUGAGUAAUGUCUGGGAAACUGCCUGAUGGAGGGGGAUAACUACUGGAAACGGUAGCUAAUACCGCAUAACGUCGCAAGACCAAAGAGGGGGACCUUCGGGCCUCUUGCCAUCAGAUGUGCCCAGAUGGGAUUAGCUAGUAGGUGGGGUAACGGCUCACCUAGGCGACGAUCCCUAGCUGGUCUGAGAGGAUGACCAGCCACACUGGAACUGAGACACGGUCCAG